GACGAACGCUGGCGGCGUGCUUAACACAUGCAAGUCGAACGGAAAGGCCCUGCUUUUGUGGGGUGCUCGAGUGGCGAACGGGUGAGUAACACGUGAGUAACCUGCCCUUGACUUUGGGAUAACUUCAGGAGACUGGGGCUAAUAUCGGAUAGGAGCUCCUGCUGCAUGGUGGGGGUUGGAAAGUUUCGGCGGUUGGGGAUGGACUCGCGGCUUAUCAGCUUGUUGGUGGGGUAGUGGCUUACCAAGGCUUUGACGGGUAGCCGGCCUGAGAGGGUGACCGGCCACAUUGGGACUGAGAUACGGCCCAGACUCCUACGGGAGGCAGCAGUGGGGAAUAUUGCACAAUGGGCGGAAGCCUGAUGCAGCAACGCCGCGUGCGGGAUGACGGCCUUCGGGUUGUAAACCGCUUUCGCCUGUGACGAAGCGUGAGUGACGGUAAUGGGUAAAGAAGCACCGGCUAACUACGUG
rnacentral:rRNA from 1 species